UGUUUUACUCGUGUUUCAAAUAUACAAAAAAUAGAACGGCAUCGUAGACCAGUUUUAAAUUUGACAGAAGAACUGGUCGAAUAAAUAAAACUAGAACGGCUUGCUGGGGAUACGUUUGUUUAAGUUUCAUUUAUAUUAUAAACCACCCAUAUGAAUCUCGCAGCUGCUGAAUUUGCUCUUAUCACUCAACUCUUAGCACGAAAUGAUACCCGAAACUUUCGACUUUCAAACAGAAUACCCUCUCAGCAGGCUGUUCAAUUUUGUUGGUUUUUGAGCGCUUGUUGAACGACAUAUUGCACGAAAUAUUCGUUCAAUUUGCUGGAACGGUUUGUUGUUGUUUUUUCUCUUGCAAAAAUAGUGUGAAAACUAAGUGUUACCUUUACAUAGAAAGAAAAUUUAUUGUUAUUCUACGUGAAGUAGAAGUAUUGUGCAGGUAUUUAGUUAGGUAGUGAUAUCAAAGAAAAUCUUUUUAAUCCCACGCAUUCACACGAUCCAGCAGAGAUCCGGAACGUCAACGGCAAGCUCCGUCAACAUUUCUCCGAAAGAAUAUUUGACGGACUGUGAUUAUCGCACACAUGCACGAUUCUUAUGAUUACGGCAGAGAUGCCAGAUAUUUUCAUAGAAAAUCUGUAUUGAUUCGUACAAAAUAUCUGUAUUUAUCUGUAUUCGCUAAUAAAAUGAAAUUUCUACAAUACAAUUA